rnacentral:piRNA from 1 species
CAGAGGCCAUCACAGCCAUGCGGGGA